rnacentral:tRNA from 1 species
GUCCCCAUAGUUCAAUGGAUAGAACAGCGGUUUCCUAAACCGCGGAUCCCAGUUCGAUUCUGGGUGGGGGCGCCA